UGAGGAAUAUUGCGCAAUGGAGGCAACUCUGACGCAGCCAUGCCGCGUGCAGGAAGAAGGCGCUACGCGUUGUAAACUGCUUUUAACCGGGAAGAAACCCCUCUACGUGUGGAGGGUUGACGGUACCGGAGGAAUAAGCACCGGCUAACUUCGUG
rnacentral:rRNA from 1 species